rnacentral:rRNA from 1 species
UAAGAGUUUGAUCCUGGCUCAGGACGAACGCUGGCGGCGUGCUUAACACAUGCAAGUCGAACGGAAAGGCCCUUUCGGGGGUACUCGAGUGGCGAACGGGUGAGUAACACGUGGGUGAUCUGCCCUGCACUUUGGGAUAAGCCUGGGAAACUGGGUCUAAUACCGAAUACACCCUGCUGUCGAUGCUG